UUGUUGCUGGGGUCCCUAGGCUCAUGGGAGCACAGGGGGCUUACACCCACAUGUCUUGCACCAGAUCCGGGACUCUAAUCAAUUGGGAGAGAUUGUGGCAGAAAGCCACCUUUGUUUCUCCCCCAAAAACUCUGCGCUGUGACAGUUGUGAUUAGGAUGGGCCUAGCAGAGGAUAUACACCUUUACCCUCCCUCUUUGGAUAACCUGAGCUAGAUACAUUCCUGAGGGAGGGGGAAACCUGCUCCCUCUGCCUAUGUGACCGGCAUCACAUACCUGGGUGAGGGGCUUCCUUCCUGGUGGGCUAGAGUCUGCCCGGCAACUAGUGAUAUAUUUCAAAUUGGUUGGCUGACAGCCAACAGGUGCUGGCCUCCAUUGGACCAGGUAAGUGAGGUCACCUGGGUGAUAUAAGUUAAGGACUGCCCGGGAGGAGGGGGCAGCAGCCAUGAGGGAUACUCAAGAACAAAGAAGAGCUGGACCAUCUGAAGCUUGCUCUCUCUCUCAAAACUCAUGAACAAGGAACCGCCUGCCUCCAGAGGGAAUUUCCACCUGCCUCUGGAUGAUACCUAUGCACCCAGAUCUUCUGAACCUCUCUCCACACACCUCCUCCAUAAAAGAAAAAGAAGUCAAAUUUGUGGGGAUGCAUUGGUGCAUCCAAGAACUUUUUAACUGAAUGGAAUGCACAGCCGGUUUCCUUUACAAUGCACCAUUUUUAAGAGUGUGCUGGAUUUGGGAAGGAACCUGUGUUUCUAAACCAUCAUAAAGCAGCAGGGAUGCUGGGAGGGGUGUACUGCAGGAGUGUAAGCUCCUGGAAACACUCUAUACAUAAUUGUCUAUCUGUCUGCCUGUCCAUUGUGCUCCUGGCAAAGCCUGGCCAGCUGUGGACAGCAGGGAAACGCCAAACCAGAAGUUUCUGAGGCAGCACAUCAACCCGUUGACUAGCCCGCCGUAUAAUGACGCCUACUGCAAUCAGAGGAUGAUAGCUCAGAGAAUGACCUUGGGCACCUGCAAGGGUAACAACACCUUCAUCCAUGCAUACUCACUAUCAAUAAAUAGGGUCUGCACUGA